UACGAAGGGGGCUAGCGUUGCUCGGAAUCAUUGGGCGUAAAGCGCACGUAGGCGGAUUGCUAAGUCAGGGGUGAAAUCCUGGAGCUCAACUCCAGAACUGCCUUUGAUACUGGCGAUCUUGAGUCCGGGAGAGGUGAGUGGAACUGCGAGUGUAGAGGUGAAAUUCGUAGAUAUUCGCAAGAACACCAGUGGCGAAGGCGGCUCACUGGCCCGGUACUGACGCUGAGGCACGAAAGCGUGGGGAGCAAACAGG
rnacentral:rRNA from 1 species